GGGUAGCUCAGUUGGUUAGAGUGUGGUAGUGAUAACACCAAGACUGCAGGUUUGAUUCUUGUAUGAAACA